GGGGAUGCGUGGUAUCGACAGGGCAGGCGAACGAUCCGCUGCGAGCCGAGGAACGCCGUUCUCCCUCGUUAAUCCGAACGGCAGCCAGAUAACUGGCACAAACUCUUACGCUCUCGCUGCCUAGCCAGUGAGACGUCCUCCCGGUCUCCCCUCCGCGGGCCGGGAAGGACGACAAAAGCGGAGGUGCUGUCCGCCGAGCGUCCGGUAGGCGGGCUCAAGACCACGGACUGGCGAGGACCGAAAGCGCGUCGGUGCGCGGUCGGUCCCGCGAGACAAAGGAACGCCGACGACGCUCGUGGGUGCGGAUCGCUCAAGUGCUUUGGACGGGGAGUUCGACCCUCCCCCAUCUCCACAG
rnacentral:tmRNA from 1 species